rnacentral:lncRNA from 1 species
UUCUUAUUUAGGAUACUAUAAAACCAUACACUAAAGUUCUAAAAGAAGAUUAAGGGCCCCCCUGUUAUAACAUUUGCUAAAAACUUCAUGUGCAAAAAGCUCAGAGAACUAACUCCAGUCAGAAAAACUAAUUGAUAAAAGCAUAGAAAAAAGGAAAGAACUAACACUCCACACGUUUGUAUGAGAAGUCCAAAUUCGAACAUCCUCCAAAUUUGAGGGUUAAUUAGAUCUGUGAGUGGCAAAUGGUGCAAACAUAAGCAGUAAGUACUCCCUCCCUGUAAUUUUAUUUCAGGUUCUGUUCCGAUAGUGGGCAGUAGGAUUCAAGAGGUCCAAUCUGAAAGAUCGCAACAAUUUGAAAAUGAAGUUGAUUGCAUGCAUUUGAAGGAUCAUGAAAAACUUCUAGGAGAUUAAUAAUUCAAAACCCAUAGUUCAGACACAUUUUAAGAAACUUCUUCCCCUAUUUUUCAUUUUUUCCCUUGUAAUCUCAAUUUGGUUUAAACAACACGAGGCAUGUGUGCACCUUAUUGUUGAAAGUGAAAUAAGUUACUCACUCUUUAGCAUUGCUCGCACGCUUAAAAGGAUCAGAAAUCUACCCCCAUAAAGAUACAAUACUGCUAAUCAUAUGUGGUUGUUUUGAAUUGAGCCAAAUUUCAUUUCCAAAUAUUAUUCCAUUAAUUAGCUAGAACAUUUGAAGAAUAUAACUUUGUUGCAUAUUCUCUCAAAAUGGAAUAUGAAGAGGAAAACAGUCAUUCCAAAUGAUCCAGCUCAACAUUUUUAAGGUUGCUAAUUGCUUCACUGCUUAUUGUAUUUUUAGUUGCCUUAGUAGUAGUGCCACUCGCAUGGCCACAGAGGUUAUGAGCUGAACGACGCUAAUCAAGUGUUGAUUAAGUUGGAAAUAAGUUAUAGCUGAAGCUUGUAUUUUGGGUUCCACGUCUUUAUAUUAUAUUUGAACAUUUUUUGUGAAUUUCAAACAUGAUAGAUCUUAUCGCUUCAUUUUCUAUAGAACAUGGCUAUGAGACUAAGAUAUCCUGCCUACCUAAUUGUAUUCGUAAAUUAUUUUUGUUGUUAACCAAUAACUUUCACUUCUAACGUCUCCCAUUGAGUCCCCAAACUCUUCUUUUAUAUAUAAUGGAAAUAGAUUGUGCUUAAAUGGAUUGUGGAGUCACACACACCCGUAAUGCACCGACACUGUUGAAGUUUUCUAGUUUUCAAUUGCUCGCCUUUGGCUAACCUAUAAACCUCUCUCCCUUCUCCGUUCUUUGCCUAGAAAACUCACCAUAUUUUUUCACCACAUUUUUAACAGCUUUCAUGGCAUCCUUUCUUGCCUACAUACGUCAUUCAAGAUCUUCACUCACUCAUAGUCAUUUGCAACCUCAUGUAACAUGCUCUAUUUUUCUCUUAGCUUGAUCACUAUUCAACCACCGCAACUCCCUGUAGUAAGCUACCCUCCUUUAUUAUCAUUCAAAACCAUCUUCAAUGUCUUCAUUAUACAAUCACUCAUUUUAAUCCACAUAAAAUUUAAAGUAACGUCCAAAAUCCCAAGUGGAGUCCCCAAACACUUGAUGGUUCACUUAUCAUCCUUCAGUUCCACCAUUUCACCUUAAGAUCAUUCAUAUUCCUUUUCAUAUUAGAUUGUUGCCUAAAGAAUAUAUCUAAAACCAAAACUGUUCAGUGAGAUUAAAGGGAUUCAUGAAUCCUCGUACCAAGAAAGACUACCAGCCCAAGCCUUCAUGGUAAAAGUGUUCAUCCUCUGAUCGGGAAAAAAGUGCUUGUUAGUAUCAGAUCACAAGCCUAAGGGUAAUUCUAGAAAGACACUUCAACAUCAUACUUGUUUAAAAAAUCAAAUCCUUAUGUAUCACAUCAAAAGCACCAUGGCCCUUCCCUAUGUGCCUAUUAAUGUCUAUCCUUCAGGUACUCAAUAACACCUCCAUAUCCUCCCAAAAUUUCAAUUUAACCUAAUUUCCUAAUCUCAUUUGUCUAACCACGAAUGCCCGAUGAAUAUCCGACAGAAACUGCUUCUAGAGACAUUGAUGUUUCUAAAUCGUGUAACAAGUGAAUGAUAUACAAACAGAGCAUUAUCUUUUAAUUAUAAUUGCUUCAAGAUAAUAAUCUAAAAUUUCAUUUUUAAGGAGUUACAUCAACUUUCAUAAAAAUUAAAAGCAAGAAAGCAUCAUUGAUCAUAAGAGUUGAACCUUAAUGUAAUUGUCUGGCCACCAACAAAAAGAUCGUGUUAACGUUAUGUACUUCUUGAUAAAGAUAAAUUGAAGAUAUGGCACAUUACACCUUUAAUACAGAUGACACUAAUGGCGAAACUCGGGGUCAUCAGCACAUAUGACAAUUAUUAUGUCAUCCUUUUCAACCUGUAGCCCAAUUCAAUGGAAAAAUUAUUUUUCAAACCAAAUGAAAGCAGUUCCAAAUUUACAUGGGAGAAGGAAUCUAACUAACAACUUGAAGACUACCACAGAUUUCUAAGAUCAUAGAAACACUAAAAAAGUCAACAAUAUGAUGAUUAUAUAUAACAAGUACAGUACAUUAAUACUAUAGCAAAAUUAAAGUAGAUUGAGCUAUCCAAUAGUUAAACACCAAACUGAGGACCAGGCAUUUGAAAUACAUAUAUUUCUUUAAGGAUUAAGUAAUUUCAUUAUUCAUGGAAAAUAGAUAAAAUAAUUAAUAAUGCCACUAGUUUUGUCAAGCUCAUAUUUAACUUUGCUGCCUUUUCCAAUAUGAAUCACCUGCCAUGUAAGUUGAGAUCAAUAAAUGAAACUAUGAAUUAAUUGGUUUAUUGCUUCAUCACAGUUAAGUUUAGAUAUGUUAUAAGAAAAAUUUGACCAACACUCAGGUAAGAUAAAUAUGGCAUGGUGACAGGAUGCCAGGAUACAAGGGAAUACAGAUUUUCAACAGUGAAAAUGUAAGUAUUUCACAUCUAACUUACUCGCGUGGAAGUUAAUAAUGGUAAACAUAGACGGCAUGGUCCGCUCGAUUCUUGCACUGUGUACAUGACAACAAGGGAAUAGCAUAUAGUACCCUUACCACUCUAGCUCACAUAUAGUAAUGCAUAUUUGAUAAACUAAAAAGGAUUUCGCUAUGCGUAAAAGUUUCGAGACCACUCACACGGUUAAAAAUUGCUGGAGCUCCUAGCCUACACAAAUAUCAAAUCAAAGUUAAUCGUAAAACGGAUAAAAUCAUAACCAUGAGGUUAAGGGGGAAAACCUAGAAAAUGGAAACCAUCAAAUACAGUUUUCUUCCCGACAAUCAACAGAAAAAUUGGAAUUAGGUUGAAGGCACAAGCAAAAUUGUCGACGGAUUUUUCUCCCUGUGUGAAGAUGGAAUUUGGAGAGGUUACUUUCGGUGGAGGAGUGAAAGGAGGAGUCUUGGAAAGGAAGAAUGAGAAUUGAGACUCACAGCAGAAGAGCUUAUACGGAUUCCAGAUAUUUUAUUCAUUUAUUGUUAUUAUAUCCUUUAACAUAAGACACACAAAGAAAAAACAAAUAAUUAAACAAAACCAGUUCCAAAUAGGUCAAGUGUGAAAAUCAAUGUGACAAAAUGAAUAGUGAAUUCAAGUUCUCUCUUUUAGGAGGAGUGGUGAAAUAUAUAUAAGAUUCAGUGUCUAACAUGUAC